rnacentral:snRNA from 1 species
UUUUAUUUUCGGGCAUGUGUGCU